rnacentral:rRNA from 1 species
UACGAAGGGGGCGAGCGUUGUUCGGAUUUACUGGGCGUAAAGGGCGCGCAGGCGGUCUUGAAAGUCAGGCGUGAAGGCCCCGGGCUUAACCUGGGAAUUGCGCUUGAUACUCUGAGACUGGAGUACGGGAGAGGAGAGUGGAAUUCCCAGUGUAGAGGUGAAAUUCGUAGAUAUUGGGAAGAACACCAGUGGCGAAGGCGGCUCUCUGGACCGUAACUGACGCUGAGGCGCGAAAGCGUGGGGAGCAAACAGG